rnacentral:misc_RNA from 1 species
AACGCACCUUGCGCUCUUUGGUAUUCCGAAGAGCAUGCCUGUUUGAGUGUCAUUAAAUUCUCAACUCCCCAGUGGUUGUCAUGACCGCUGUUGAGCUUGGAUGUGAGGGUUUUGCUGGCUUUCACGAGUCAGCUCCCUUGAAAAUCAUUAGCGCAGCUUCUGCAAGUCGCUUGGUGUGAUAAUUUAUCUACUUUGUGAUGGGCAUGAAUAAAGCUUUGUGCUUCUAAUCGUCUUCUCUGGAGACAAUUUUUUUUUUUGAACUUGACCUCAAAUCAGGUAGGACUACCCGCUGAACUUAA